rnacentral:lncRNA from 1 species
AGUAGGUGGAUGCGGCCUCGAUUAGCGGGGGAACCACAUGAAAAAAAGCGAGCUACUGGGUGUACCUCCUGGGUAGUUUGGAAAUCACCUAAGAUAUAUAUGUAUAUAUUUAUAAAUAAAAGUUAAUAUAUAUAAAUUAACAUUAAUUUUUUUUAACAGGAAAUGCACAAUGCUAAAAACUGCGUAGGAGAUUUUAAUACAAUAGUACUACCAAGCCUGAUGUUGGCCGCUAUUUCAAUGAAUGCAGCAGUGUCACAGCUAGCAAUCAAAAGUAACAAGAUAUUGAGGAAAUGCAGAUGGCAAUAAACUGUGUAGGAGUUCAUGAUUGCAAUAGAAUAAAAUCGACCAAGCCUGAAGUCAGCAGCCCCUUCAAUGAAUGCAGCAGUGUGACAGCCAGCAAUCAAAAGUUACAAGAUAUCGAGGAAAUGCAGAUGGCAAUAAACUGUGUAGGAGUUUAUGAUUGCAAUAGAAUAAAAUCGACCAAGCCUGAAGUCAGCAGCCCCUUCAAUGAAUGCAGCAGUGUGACAGCCAACAAUCAAAAGUUACAAGAUAUCGAGGAAAUGCAGAAGGCAAAAAACUGCGUAGGAGAUCAUUAAUACAAAAGUAUUAUAUAAACCAAACCUGAUGUUGCCAGCUCCUUCAAUGAAUGCAGCAGUGUGACAGCCAGCAAUCAAAAGUAACAAGAUAUCGAGGAAAUGCAGAAGGCAAAAAACUGCAUAGGAGAUCAUUAAUACAAUAGUAUUAUAUAAACCAAGCCUGAUGUUGGCCGCUCAUUCAAAGAAUGCAGCAGUGUGACAGCCAGCAAUCAAAAGUAACAAGAUGUCGAGGAAAUGCAGAGUGCAAUAAACUUUGUAGGAGAUUAUGAUUGCAAUAGAAUAAAAUCGACCAAGCCUGAAGUUCUUCAAUGCACGCAGCAGUGUGACAGCCAGCAAUCAAAAGUUACAAGAUAUCGAGGAGAUUAUGAUUGCAAUAAAAUAAAAUCGACCAAGCCUGAAGUUCUUCAAUGCACGCAGCAGUGUGACAGCCAGCAAUCAAAAGUUACAAGAUAUCGAGGAAAUGCAGAAGGCAAAAAACUGCGUAGGAGAUUAUUAAUACAAUAGUAUUAUAUCAACCAAGCCUGAUGUCGGUAGCUUCUUCAAUGAAUGCAGCAGUGUGACAGCCAGCAAUCAAUAGUGAUAGUGACAAGAAUCUAGGAAAUACAGAAGGCAAAGAAGCAGAUGUCAUCAAAGAAGAUCUUUGUUCCUGCAAUGUUUCCGCAGACGAUACAUCCAACAGAGCGAAGUGGAAGGAAAAGACUCGGAAAAAAGACCCCACCACCAUAUGGGAACAAUGCAAGGGAGAGAGAGAGAAUAUAAUUUUAUAUUUUUAUUUUUUGAUAACAUAAAAUAAACCAACAAUAUCCUACACAUUUUUUUUAUUUCUUUUUGUGUCUGUCUUAAUAGUUAUUACAAAUCUGUGAUGCGAAACAAACUAUACGAAAACGUCAAUCCACGUACAACGCCCGCGAAGCUG